UACGUAGGGUGCGAGCGUUGUCCGGAAUUACUGGGCGUAAAGCGUGCGCAGGCGGUUUUGUAAGCCAGAUGUGAAAUCCCCGGGCUUAACCUGGGAAUUGCGUUGGAGACUGCAAGGCUGGAGUCUGGCAGAGGGGGGUAGAAUUCCACGUGUAGCAGUGAAAUGCGUAGAGAUGUGGAGGAACACCGAUGGCGAAGGCAGCCCCCUGGGUCAAGACUGACGCUCAUGCACGAAAGCGUGGGGAGCAAACAGG
rnacentral:rRNA from 1 species